rnacentral:rRNA from 1 species
UGGGGAAUAUUGGACAAUGGGCGAAAGCCUGAUCCAGCCAUGCCGCGUGUGUGAAGAAGGUCUUCGGAUUGUAAAGCACUUUAAGUUGGGAGGAAGGGCAUUAACCUAAUACGUUAGUGUUUUGACGUUACCGACAGAAUAAGCACCGGCUAACUCUGUGCCAGCAGCCGCGGUAAUACAGAGGGUGCAAGCGUUAAUCGGAAUUACUGGGCGUAAAGCGCGCGUAGGUGGUUUGUUAAGUUGGAUGUGAAAUCCCCGGGCUCAACCUGGGAACUGCAUUCAAAACUGACUGACUAGAGGAUGGUAGAGGGUGGUGGAAUUUCCUGUGUAGCGGUGAAAUGCGUAGGUAUAGGAAGGAACACCAGUGGCGAAGGCGACCACCUGGACUAAUACUGACACUGAGGUGCGAAAGCGUGGGGAGCAAACA